rnacentral:rRNA from 1 species
GACAGAGGGGGCAAGCGUUGCUCGGAAUCACUGGGCGUAAAGGGCGAGUAGGUGGCCAUCUAAGUCAGACGUGAAAUCCCCCGGCUUAACCUGGGAACUGCGUCUGAUACUGGACGGCUUGAGUAUGGGAGAGGAACGUAGAAUUCCAGGUGUAGCGGUGAAAUGCGUAGAUAUCUGGAGGAAUACCGGUGACGAAGGCGGCGUUCUGGACCAUUACUGACACUGAAUCGCGAAAGCUAGGGGAGCAAACGGG